AGUUGCGGCUUCCGCUACCACUUCGUCACACGCCCCCGCCCCCACUCGGCUCCAUCUCUCCGGAGGAAAUAGGCCUUUCAUCUCCCGGGAGGGUCUCACCUUGGCCUUCAGACACCCGCUGAGAGGGGCAUAAUUAGCAUAAAGAAGAAAGAGACUAGGACAGGUUCAGGCUCUAGCCCCAGGAAUCUUUGACAGGAAGCUUGGGGUUGCUGCCCAGUCUCCCACGCAGUGUAGGUGAAGUCGGGCCCUUUUGAGGGAAUGUGACUAAGGACAAAACUCUGAUAUUUUAUGCCUCCUUAGGCCGAAUGGGAGAGAAUAAAAGUUAAUUUUCAUAAAUUGCUAUGCAGGGGUGAGAUAUAGAACUAUAAAAUGUUCUUCAAGACAGUUUUCUUGAAAUCUUACCAGAAGUUUGGCAAGAUUUUUGGUGCAAGGUAUCUUUUGAUGCCCUUGUUAUGUAUUGUAGACAGUGCCCAAUGGCUGAGAAGAAUCCCGGAGGACUCAAUAAAAGUAAUUCAAGGAUUGGUGCCCGUAGCACAGUGGUCACGGUGUCAGCCAUAUGCACCGAGGCUGGUGGGUUCGCACCCAGACCGGGCCAGCUAAACAACAAUGA